GCGGGCCCGGCGCUCUGCAGGGGGAGCCGCGAGCUCUGCUGACGCUCCUGGCGGGGCCCUGCGGGAGGCUGGCCUGGCGAGCUGGGCACGUUCGAAAUGGGACAGACGGACAGACAUCCACUCCACUGGGGGGAGAAAUGAGACUGAAACAUCUGUAAAUGAUGGAGUCCAGAUAUCCCAGUCCCUCAUCUAUCUUUUUAUGGGCCAGAUUGUGAGCUUUUCACUCCUGUUGAUGAACAAUUCCUCAUACAUUUAGUCUCACCAAAGUGAAUGGAAUUGUCCAGAUGAGUACUUUCACAGAUUUUUGAAGUCAGAAAGGAUUAUUAUGAUCAUCUGGUCUGACCAGUUUCUCACCAUGAGUAUUAAUAUCAGACCAAAUCCUAAUAAGUGCAUAGCAUCUGCUGAACUGCUGCAACUCCCCAUUGAAGUUAAUGGAAUUCAAUAAUCAGUUCUUCUUGGGAUUUGGACCAUAAGAAUUACAGAUCCAAAGUAAUUAUUUCACACAAUACCCCAUAUGAUUUCAGGAUAUGAUACUGUAUUUUGGUGAUGUGCUGCUCUAGAGAGCAGAGUUGUACCUGUUUAUUCAAGUAAAGUAAGAAGAAAUGAUCAAGUUGUUUAAAUAGUGCUUGUAUUAAUCAAAAGUUUGAAAGACUUUUUUCCUCCCUCCUGCUAAUCAACCUGACUCCAUAGUUACUUAUGAUGGUGCAUAUGUGGCAAAGUUCAAAUAUCCCUAUGAGAACAAGCUAAACAAUGUCAAAUAAGCUAACGCAGAGAGGAGAAGUAGACGAGUCUCACACAUAUACUUUCAAUUUCUGAAAAAUUACUAGUGACAGGUAACCAUUAUAAACCACUCAGUUGCAGAUUUUCAGAAAUUAAAAGUAUAAGUGUGAGAUUCCAGUGAGUUGACUGAGAUGAAGAACAUUGACAGCAGUAGUUAUUGGAAACGUGGCUGCCUCCUCUGGAUAUGCUGGUCAAAGAUUAGCUCAUCCAAGGUUAGUUGUGAAACUGUCAACUUUUUCAAAUACCUACUACAUUUUGAAAAAAGCAAGGUAAGAAUUAGAGAUGAAUGUAAAGCUCUGUAUUGUAAAUUCUUUUACUGCAUCCUAAGAUUGGUAUUCCAGUUUUAGAUCUCUUCUUUUUGCCUAUGUCCUUACACGAUGCUCAUCAUCGUGGUAACUGUGAAAUAUCAGAGAAUGUUUUAAGGGCCAAAUUCUACUCUCAUUUACACCUGUGUAAAUUCAGAGUAACCUCAGUGAUUUAAAUUUGGGUUUACUGGAUUUACUUUACUUGGAUACAGUGUCUCUGCAAAUGCUGAAACUUCCUUAUCAAAAGAACUAUGCAGUUCCACUACACCGAGAUGGCAGGAUGCCAGGGGAGCUGCUACAGGGUGGAGGGAGAGGUACAGUAUGAACACCAGAGUUAUGAACACCCGAGUUAUGAAUUGAUGAUCAACCACAUGCCUCAUUUGGAUCCAGAAGUACGCAAUCAGGCAGCAGCAGAGACAAAAAAAAAAAAUCCACUACA